GACGAACGCUGGCGGCGUGCCUAAUACAUGCAAGUUGAGCGCUGAAGGUUGGUACUUGUACCCACUGGAUGAGCAGCGAACGGGUGAGUAACGCGUGGGGAAUCUGCCUUUUAGCGGGGGACAACAUUUGGAAACGAAUGCUAAUACCGCAUAAAAACUUUAAACACAAGUUUUACGUUUGAAAGAUGCAAUUGCAUCACUCAAAGAUGAUCCCGCGUUGUAUUAGCUAGUUGGUGAGGUAAAGGCUCACCAAGGCGAUGAUACAUAGCCGACCUGAGAGGGUGAUCGGACACAGUGGGACUGAGACACGGCCCAAACUCCUACGGGAGGCAGCAGUAGGGAAUCGUAGGCAAUGGACGAAAGGCUGACCGAGCAACGCCGCGUGAGUGAAGAAGGUUUGCGGAUCGUAAAACUCUGUUGGUAGAGAAGAACGUUGGUGAGAGUGGAAAGCUCAUCAAGUGACGGUAACUACCCAGAAAGGGACGGCUAACUACGUG
rnacentral:rRNA from 1 species